rnacentral:rRNA from 1 species
AGAGUUUGAUCAUGGCUCAGGACGAACGCUGGCGGCGUGCCUAAUACAUGCAAGUAGAACGCUGAAGAGAGGAGCUUGCUCUUCUUGGAUGAGUUGCGAACGGGUGAGUAACGCGUAGGUAACCUGCCUUGUAGCGGGGGAUAACUAUUGGAAACGAUAGCUAAUACCGCAUAACAAUGGAUGACACAUGUCAUUUAUUUGAAAGGGGCAAUUGCUCCACUACAAGAUGGACCUGCGUUGUAUUAGCUAGUAGGUGAGGUAAUGGCUCACCUAGGCGACGAUACAUAGCCGACCUGAGAGGGUGAUCGGCCACACUGGGACUGAGACACGGCCCAGACUCCUACGGGAGGCAGCAGUAGGGAAUCUUCGGCAAUGGGGGCAACCCUGACCGAGCAACGCCGCGUGAGUGAAGAAGGUUUUCGGAUCGUAAAGCUCUGUUGUAAGUCAAGAACGGGUGUGAGAGUGGAAAGUUCACACUGUGACGGUAGCUCACCAGAAAGGGACGGCUAACUACGUGCCAGCAGCCGCGGUAAUACGUAGGUCCCGAGCGUUGUCCGGAUUUAUUGGGCGUAAAGCGAGCGCAGGCGGUUUGAUAAGUCUGAAGUUAAAGGCUGUGGCUCAACCAUAGUUCGCUUUGGAAACUGUCAAACUUGAGUGCAGAAGGGGAGAGUGGAAUUCCAUGUGUAGCGGUGAAAUGCGUAGAUAUAUGGAGGAACACCGGUGGCGAAAGCGGCUCUCUGGUCUGUAACUGACGCUGAGGCUCGAAAGCGUGGGGAGCGAACAGGAUUAGAUACCCUGGUAGUCCACGCCGCAAACGAUGAGUGCUAGGUGUUGGAUCCUUUCCGGGAUUCAGUGCCGCAGCUAACGCAUUAAGCACUCCGCCUGGGGAGUACGACCGCAAGGUUGAAACUCAAAGGAAUUGACGGGGGCCCGCACAAGCGGUGGAGCAUGUGGUUUAAUUCGAAGCAACGCGAAGAACCUUACCAGGUCUUGACAUCCCGAUGCUAUUUCUAGAGAUAGAAAGUUACUUCGGUACAUCGGUGACAGGUGGUGCAUGGUUGUCGUCAGCUCGUGUCGUGAGAUGUUGGGUUAAGUCCCGCAACGAGCGCAACCCCUAUUGUUAGUUGCCAUCAUUCAGUUGGGCACUCUAGCGAGACUGCCGGUAAUAAACCGGAGGAAGGUGGGGAUGACGUCAAAUCAUCAUGCCCCUUAUGACCUGGGCUACACACGUGCUACAAUGGUUGGUACAACGAGUUGCGAGUCGGUGACGGCGAGCUAAUCUCUUAAAGCCAAUCUCAGUUCGGAUUGUAGGCUGCAACUCGCCUACAUGAAGUCGGAAUCGCUAGUAAUCGCGGAUCAGCACGCCGCGGUGAAUACGUUCCCGGGCCUUGUACACACCGCCCGUCACACCACGAGAGUUUGUAACACCCGAAGUCGGUGAGGUAACCUUUUGGAGCCAGCCGCCUAAGGUGGGACAGAUGAUUGGGGUGAAGUCGUAACAAGGUA